UCAAGACCAUUCUCUUUUUUGUAUUUCUAUCACGAUUUUCAAUCAGUAAUUUAAGAAAAACAGCAAUUAAAGUGGGUUUUUCUUUUCGCUUUUCAUUCUCCUUUUCUAGCUAUUUAAAUUCACUUCAUUUUAAUCUUUUUCGUCACUGUAAUUCACAAGAAAUCAAUAGAAUAAGAAGCAGCAUUCAACAAAGAGUUGGAACUCUUCAAUUCUCUUUAAUGGCGGCAUUUAAUAAGAAAACCCGGUUGAUGAACAUCGAUAAACCAAAUAUGAAUCUCAGACUCUCUUUAUUUUUGGGGUGGAAUUGCUUCUAUCUGCCCUCUCCCUUUCUCUUAGCUAAUUUCUCUAUUUUUUUAGGGUUUUACAGAUUAUACAACUACCUUUGCUUUCUGCCAUUGAUUAUACAGUUGUUUUUGUUCCCUCACUAAUUUCUAUGCCUCCUCUCAUGUGAGUUUUGCGAUUACAGACGGAUCCAAUACUCUGCUUCCGCCAUUGAUUAUAUUCUUAUUUUUUAAGAUUUCGGUCUUUUAAUUUUGUUUCUCUCCUUUUGUGUAGUUAUUUUUCUCUUAAAAAUGGGGAUUCUGGUUAUGGGUCAAUUGUAUGUUAUGAUUAUUAUUAUGGUUACUGGUCAAUUGUAAAAUUGAGAAAUGUUUGUUUGGCA